ACGGGGGGUGCGAGCGUUGUCCGGAAUCACUGGGCGUAAAGGGCGCGUAGGUGGUCUGAUAAGGGUGUGGUGAAAGCCCCGGGCUCAACCCGGGAACGGCGCUCGAGACUCCGGCUCUUGAGUCCCGGAGAGGCGGGUGGAAUUCCUGGUGUAGCGGUGAAAUGUGUAGAGAUCAGGAGGAACACCGGUGGCGCAGGCGGCCCGCUGGACGGAGACUGACGCUGAGGCGCGAAAGCGUGGGGAGCAAACGGGA
rnacentral:rRNA from 1 species